GUUCGACUCCCGGCAAACGCAUCUUUUUUUUUUAUUCUUUUUACCCUGAAUUUGCAACUUUAAAAUCUUAUUUUGAAGACACACAUAAGCGCUGAAAUUAAAACUUGAAUCUUUUCGUUUGCCGCGAUGUUGAAUAAAGUUCAAUGAAUCAAAAGUGAAAACCAUUGGAAUUUGGUUUUUCAUCGGUUGCUGAAGUAUCUAUCUGCUCUUCCAUUCUUUCUUCGGCUACAAGCGGAAUCGAUGUAAAAGGUUUGGUGAUAGAAGUAUCAUACGUGUUAGUUUAUGAUUGCUUAUUCUGGUAAUUCGCGUAACUCGGUGCCUAAAUUUUUUGUGAGAGAACAGCAAAUUUACAUCUGCAUAUUCAGUGGGUCCCCAAAAGAAAUAUAGAGGGCUGAGAAGAACCAGCUGCCUACCGCCAGUGGUGGAGCUUGACUAAAAGUUCCCGGGGGGGGGGGGGGGGGUUGAUCAUUGCCUACCCCUGGGUUUCCAUUAAGCUCUGUCCCUGCCUACCGCUGAUUCCUUGACCAAAAGAAAUAUUAUUGUCAUCUCGGAUUUGUGUGUUUUCUAUGGGGAGAUCAUUUCAUCGUGUGAGUACAUAUUCGUCUCUUGUGCCUUUGCGCAGUGUACAUGGCAGGUUAUCUCUACCUGGUGUGAAGUCCGAUCUAUCUAUGCCUUUACUUUACGUGACAUUCGUGAUUUGCAUGAGUUCAUCCAUGGAUCCAAGAAAAAGAGGAAAGCCUUUCAUGUUGUGGUUUUGAUUGCUCUUUGGUGCUUAUGGCAUUUGCGUAAUGACAUGGUUUUUAAUCGGAAGUCGGUUUAUGAGUUUCUUUUAGAUAUGCUGCAAACCAUCGAAGAUAGGUCCACAUAGUGGCGUUCCUCAAAAAAGACGUCCGAAGAUCAGAGAACACACUUUUCUUACGCCUGACGACCGUGACCAGCGACAAUAAGCUUCUCCUGUUCAGCCAUAAUGUCUAUUGCUUUUGUCAUUUGUCUUGAAAGUGUUAUCCGUUUGUAUUUAGGAUUGAGUUCCAAUGUGUUUGUGUUUUGUGUGUUUGUUGUAAGUCACGCAUGGCAUAGUAUCAACGUAUGACUCAUACGUUGCGCAUGACUCAUGCGUGGGUAAGAAACUGUAAUGAAACUCUGUCCAUUUGGAUUUUUGAAUAGAAGAAACGUUUAUUUACC